rnacentral:misc_RNA from 1 species
GUGAAUCAUCAAAUCUUUGAACGCAAAUUGCACUCUCUUCGGAGAGUAUGCCUGUUUGAGGGUCAGCCUAAAAAAAAAUCGACAUAGUCGCUGUGUCGCGGUGACAUUCGUCGGAAAUUGGUUAAUUUUAAACCUUGGGUUUUUAGGCGCCUUAAAUUUUUUUUUACGUUUCCAGAAAGGUUUUUAGGAUUA